rnacentral:rRNA from 1 species
UACGUAGGGGGCUAGCGUUGUCCGGAAUCAUUGGGCGUAAAGAGCGUGUAGGCGGCCAGAUAGGUCAGCUGUGAAAACUCGAGGCUCAACCUCGAGACGUCGGUUGAAACCACCUGGCUAGAGUCCGGAAGAGGAGAGUGGAAUUCCCGGUGUAGCGGUGAAAUGCGCAGAUAUCGGGAAGAACACCCGUGGCGAAGGCGGCUCUCUGGGACGGUACUGACGCUGAGACGCGAAAGCGUGGGGAGCGAACAGG